AUUGGAUUCAGAAUGGAUGUUGCAAGACGGGCUCACCUCUGGGCUUCUACGGGAACCCCACUUUCUAUCUUCGGAGCU
rnacentral:sRNA from 1 species